UGGGGAAUAUUGCACAAUGGAGGGAACUCUGAUGCAGCGACGCCGCGUGAACGAAGAAGGCUUUCGAGUCGUAAAGUUCUUUUAUAUGGGCAGAUAAUGACGGUACCAUAAGAAGAAGCCCCGGCUAACUACGUGCCAGCAGCCGCGGUAAUACGUAGGGGGCUAGCGUUGUCCGGAAUCACUGGGCGUAAAGGGUUCGCAGGCGGAAAUGCAAGUCAGGUGUAAAAGGCAGUAGCUUAACUACUGUAAGCAUUUGAAACUGCAUAUCUUGAGAAGAGUAGAGGUAAGUGGAAUUUUUAGUGUAGCGGUGAAAUGCGUAGAUAUUAAAAAGAAUACCGGUGGCGAAGGCGACUUACUGGGCUCAUUCUGACGCUGAGGAACGAAAGCGUGGGUAGCAAACAGG
rnacentral:rRNA from 1 species